GGACCGCCGUAAUGAUUAAUAGGGACAGUCGGGGGCAUCAGUAUUCAGUUGUCAGAGGUGAAAUUCUUGGAUCUACUGAAGACUAACUACUGCGAAAGCAUUUGCCAAGGAUGUUUUCAUUGAUAAGGAACGAAAGUUAGGGGAUCGAAGACGAUCAGAUACCGUCGUAGUCUUAACUAUAAACUAUGCCGACUAGGGAUCGGACGAUGUUAUUAUUUGACGCGUUCGGCACCUUUCGAGAAAUCAAAGUGCUUGGGCUCCAGGGGGAGUAUGGUCGCAAGGCUGAAACUUAAAGAAAUUGACGGAAGGGCACCACCAGGGGUGGAACCUGCGGCUUAAUUUGACUCAACACGGGGAAACUCACCAGGUCCAGACACAGUGAGGAUUGACAGAUUGAGAGCUCUUUCUUGAUUCUGUGGGUGGUGGUGCAUGGCCGUUCUUAGUUGGUGGAGUGAUUUGUCUGCUUAAUUGCGAUAACGAACGAGACCUUAACCUGCUAAAUAGCCCGUACUGCUCUGGCAGUUCGCCGGCUUCUUAGAGGGACUAUCGGCUCAAGCCGAUGGAAGUUUGAGGCAAUAACAGGUCUGUGAUGCCCUUAGAUGUCCUGGGCCGCACGCGCGUUACACUGACAGAGCCAGCGAGUACCUCCUUGGCCGGAA
rnacentral:rRNA from 1 species